AGUGAACGCUGGCGGUAGGCCUAACACAUGCAAGUCGAACGGCAGCACAGUAAGAGCUUGCUCUUACGGGUGGCGAGUGGCGGACGGGUGAGGAAUACAUCGGAAUCUACUUUUUCGUGGGGGAUAACGUAGGGAAACUUACGCUAAUACGCAUACGACCUACGGGUGAAAGCAGGGGAUCUUCGGACCUUGCGCGAUUGAAUGAGCCGAUGUCGGAUUAGCUAGUUGGCGGGGUAAAGGCCCACCAAGGCGACGAUCCGUAGCUGGUCUGAGAGGAUGAUCAGCCACACUGGAACUGAGACACGGUCCAGACUCCUACGGGAGGCAGCAGUGGGGAAUAUUGGACAAUGGGCGCAAGCCUGAUCCAGCCAUACCGCGUGGGUGAAGAAGGCCUUCGGGUUGUAAAGCCCUUUUGUUGGGAAAGAAAAGCAGCAGGUUAAUACCCCGCUGUUCUGACGGUACCCAAAGAAUAAGCACCGGCUAACUUCGUG
rnacentral:rRNA from 1 species